GGUACUGUGGCUCAAUGGUAGAGCGUUAGCCUUAAGCUGAAUAGCUGAAGGACAGUCCCU
rnacentral:tRNA from 1 species